rnacentral:rRNA from 1 species
UACGGGGGGAGCAAGCGUUGUUCGGAUUUACUGGGCGUAAAGGGCGCGUAGGCGGCCGAUCAAGUCGGGGGUGAAAGCCUGCGGCUCAACCACAGAAUUGCCUUCGAUACUGUUUGGCUUGAGACCGGAAGAGGUUAGUGGAACUGCGAGUGUAGAGGUGAAAUUCGUAGAUAUUCGCAAGAACACCAGUGGCGAAGGCGGCUGACUGGUCCGGUUCUGACGCUGAGGCGCGAAAGCGUGGGGAGCAAACAGG